AUUGAACGCUGGCGGCAUGCUUUACACAUGCAAGUCGAACGGCAGCGGGGUAGUGCUUGCACUACUGCCGGCGAGUGGCGAACGGGUGAGUAAUAUAUCGGAACGUACCGAGUAAUGGGGGAUAACCAAUCGAAAGAUUGACUAAUACCGCAUACGUCCUGAGGGAGAAAGCGGGGGAUCGCAAGACCUCGCGUUAUUCGAGCGGCCGAUAACUGAUUAGCUAGUUGGUGGGGUAAAGGCCUACCAAGGCGACGAUCAGUAGCGGGUCUGAGAGGACGAUCCGCCACACUGGGACUGAGACACGGCCCAGACUCCUACGGGAGGCAGCAGUGGGGAAUUUUGGACAAUGGGGGCAACCCUGAUCCAGCCAUGCCGCGUGUAUGAAGAAGGCCUUCGGGUUGUAAAGUACUUUUGUUAGGGAAGAAAAGGGAAGUGCUAAUACCACUUUUUGCUGACGGUACCUAAAGAAUAAGCACCGGCUAACUACGUG
rnacentral:rRNA from 1 species